rnacentral:rRNA from 1 species
AACGAACGCUGGCGGCAGGCUUAACACAUGCAAGUCGAGCGCAUCCUUCGGGGUGAGCGGCAGACGGGUGAGUAACGCGUGGGAACGUGCCCUUUGCUACGGAAUAGCUCCGGGAAACUGGAAUUAAUACCGUAUGAGCCCUUAGGGGGAAAGAUUUAUCGGCAAAGGAUCGGCCCGCGUUGGAUUAGCUAGUUGGUGGGGUAAUGGCCUACCAAGGCGACGAUCCAUAGCUGGUCUGAGAGGAUGAUCAGCCACAUUGGGACUGAGACACGGCCCAGACUCCUACGGGAGGCAGCAGUGGGGAAUAUUGGACAAUAGGCGAAAGCCUGAUCCAGCUAUGCCGCGUGAGUGAUGAAGGCCUUAGGGUUGUAAAGCUCUUUCAGUGGGGAAGAUAAUGACGGUACCCACAGAAGAAGCCCCGGCUAACUUCGUGCCAGCCGCCGCGGUAACAC